rnacentral:rRNA from 1 species
UGAACGCUAGCGGCAGGCCUAACACAUGCAAGUCGAGGGAGAAGCCCUUCGGGGCAGAAACCGGCGCACGGGUGCGUAACGCGUAUGCAACCUACCUUUCACAGGGGGAUAGCCCGAAGAAAUUUGGAUUAAUACCCCAUAAUAUUGUUGGAUGGCAUCAUUUAGCAAUUAAAACUACGGUGGUGAAAGAUGGGCAUGCGUCCUAUUAGCUAGUUGGAGUGGUAACGGCACCCCAAGGCUACGAUAGGUAGGGGUCCUGAGAGGGAGAUCCCCCACACUGGUACUGAGACAGGGACCAGACUCCUACGGGAGGCAGCAGUGAGGAAUAUUGGUCAAUGGUCGGAAGACUGAACCAGCCAUGCCGCGUGCAGGAAGAAUGCCUUAUGGGUUGUAAACUGCUUUUAUAUGGGAAGAAUAAGGUGUACGAGUACAUUGAUGACGGUACCAUAUGAAUAAGCAUCGGCUAACUCCGUGCCAGCAGCCGCGGUAAUACGGAGGAUGCGAGCGUUAUUCGGAAUCAUUGGGUUUAAAGGGUCUGUAGGCGGGCUAUUAAGUCAGGGGUGAAAGGUUUCAGCUUAACUGAGAAAUUGCCUUUGAUACUGGUAGUCUUGAAUAUCUGUGAAGUUCUUGGAAUGUGUAGUGUAGCGGUGAAAUGCUUAGAUAUUACACAGAACACCGAUUGCGAAGGCAGGGGACUAACAGACAAUUGACGCUGAGAGACGAAAGCGUGGGGAGCGAACAGGAUUAGAUACCCUGGUAGUCCACGCUGUAAACGAUGGAUACUAGCUGUUUGGCGCAAGCUGAGUGGCUAAGCGAAAGUGAUAAGUAUCCCACCUGGGAUACGC